UGCCCGAUAGUGUAAAAUAGGUAACACAUCUGUUUCUGAAGCAGAAGCUUCCUGGUUCGAAUCCAGGUCGGGCAA
rnacentral:tRNA from 1 species